rnacentral:rRNA from 1 species
GACGAACGUUGGCGGCGUGCCUAAUACAUGCAAGUCAACUGAAAUACCGGUAGCAAUACUGGUAUGGAGGUGGCGCACGGGUGAGUAACACGUAGGUAAUCUGCCUUCAGGUCUGACAUAACCCAUCGAAAGGUGAGCUAAUAUCAGAUGAUGCAGCGGCUUGACAUCAAGACAGUUGUUAAAGCUUCGGCGCCUGAAGAUGAGCCUGCGUCUGAUUAGCUAGUUGGCGGGGUAACGGCCACCAAGGCUGCGAUCAGUAGCUGGUCUGAGAGGAUGAUCAGUCACACUGGAACUGAGACACGGUCCAGACUCC